UACGGCGGGUGCGAGCGUUGCUCGGCAUUAUUGGGCGUAAAGCGUACGCAGGCUGUUCGUUAAGUCGGGUGUGAAAUCCCAGGGCUCAACCCUGGACGUGCAUCCGAUACUGGCGAGCUUGAGUGCGGGAGAGGGAAGCGGAAUUCCUGGUGUAGAGGUGAAAUUCGUAGAUAUCAGGAGGAACACCGGUGGCGAAAGCGGCUUCCUGGCCCGACACUGACGCUCAUGUACGAAAGCGCGGGGAGCAAACAGG
rnacentral:rRNA from 1 species